rnacentral:rRNA from 1 species
UACGUAGGGUGCAAGCGUUGUCCGGAAUUAUUGGGCGUAAAGAGCUCGUAGGCGGUCUGUCGCGUCGGAUGUGAAAAUCCAGGGCUCAACCCUGGACCUGCAUUCGAUACGGGCAGACUAGAGUUCGGUAGGGGAGACUGGAAUUCCUGGUGUAGCGGUGAAAUGCGCAGAUAUCAGGAGGAACACCAAUGGCGAAGGCAGCUCGCUGGGACGGUACUGACGCUGAGACGCGAAAGCGUGGGGAGCAAACAGG